rnacentral:rRNA from 1 species
GAAUGCUGACAUAAGUAACGAUAAAGCGGGUGAAAAGCCCGCUCGCCGGAAGACCAAGGGUUCCUGUCCAACGUUAAUCGGGGCAGGGUGAGUCGACCCCUAAGGCGAGGCCGAAAGGCGUAGUCGAUGGGAAACGGGUUAAUAUUCCCGUACUUGGUGUUACUGCGAAGGGGGGACGGAGAAGGCUAUGUUGGCCGGGCGACGGUUGUCCCGGUUUAAGCGUGUAGGUGUGUGUUCCAGGUAAAUCCGGUUCACUUUAACACUGAGGCGUGACGACGAGGCACUACGGUGCUGAAGCAACAAAUGCCCUGCUUCCAGGAAAAGCCUCUAAGCAUCAGGUAACAUCAAAUCGUACCCCAAACCGACACAGGUGGUCAGGUAGAGAAUACCAAGGCGCUUGAGAGAACUCGGGUGAAGGAACUAGGCAAAAUGGUGCCGUAACUUCGGGAGAAGGCACGCUGACACGUAGGUGAAGUGAUUUACUCAUGGAGCUGAAGUCAGUCGAAGAUACCAGCUGGCUGCAACUGUUUAUUAAAAACACAGCACUGUGCAAACACGAAAGUGGACGUAUACGGUGUGACGCCUGCCCGGUGCCGGAAGGUUAAUUGAUGGGGUCAGCGCAAGCGAAGCUCCUGAUCGAAGCCCCGGUAAACGGCGGCCGUAACUAUAACGGUCCUAAGGUAGCGAAAUUCCUUGUCGGGUAAGUUCCGACCUGCACGAAUGGCGUAAUGAUGGCCAGGCUGUCUCCACCCGAGACUCAGUGAAAUUGAACUCGCUGUGAAGAUGCAGUGUACCCGCGGCAAGACGGAAAGACCCCGUGAACCUUUACUAUAGCUUGACACUGAACAUUGAGCCUUGAUGUGUAGGAUAGGUGGGAGGCUUUGAAGUGUGGACGCCAGUCUGCAUGGAGCCGACCUUGAAAUACCACCCUUUAAUGUUUGAUGUUCUAACGUGGACCCGUUACCCGGGUUGCGGACAGUGUCUGGUGGGUAGUUUGACUGGGGCGGUCUCCUCCUAAAGAGUAACGGAGGAGCACGAAGGUUGGCUAAUCCUGGUCGGACAUCAGGAGGUUAGUGCAAUGGCAUAAGCCAGCUUGACUGCGAGCGUGACGGCGCGAGCAGGUGCGAAAGCAGGUCAUAGUGAUCCGGUGGUUCUGAAUGGAAGGGCCAUCGCUCAACGGAUAAAAGGUACUCCGGGGAUAACAGGCUGAUACCGCCCAAGAGUUCAUAUCGACGGCGGUGUUUGGCACCUCGAUGUCGGCUCAUCACAUCCUGGGGCUGAAGUAGGUCCCAAGGGUAUGGCUGUUCGCCAUUUAAAGUGGUACGCGAGCUGGGUUUAGAACGUCGUGAGACAGUUCGGUCCCUAUCUGCCGUGGGCGCUGGAGAACUGAGGGGGGCUGCUCCUAGUACGAGAGGACCGGAGUGGACGCAUCACUGGUGUUCGGGUUGUCAUGCCAAUGGCACUGCCCGGUAGCUAAAUGCGGAAGAGAUAAGUGCUGAAAGCAUCUAAGCACGAAACUUGCCCCGAGAUGAGUUCUCCCUGAGACUUAAAGUCUCCUGAAGGAACGUUGA